CCUACGGGAGGCAGCAGUGGGGAAUAUUGCACAAUGGAGGGAACCCUGAUGCAGCAACGCCGCGUGGGUGAAGAAGUACUCCGGUAUGUAAAGCCCUGUCAGCAGGGAAGAAAAUGACGGUACCUGACCAAGAAGCCCCGGCUAACUACGUGCCAGCAGCCGCGGUAAUACGUAGGGGGCAAGCGUUAUCCGGAUUUACUGGGUGUAAAGGGAGCGUAGACGGCAAGGCAAGUCUGGAGUGAAAGCCCGGGGCCCAACCACGGGACUGCUUUGGAAACUGGGUUGCUGGAGUGCAGGAGGGGUAAGCGGAAUUCCUAGUGUAGCGGUGAAAUGCGUAGAUAUUAGGAGGAACACCGGUGGCGAAGGCGGCUUACUGGACUGUAACUGACGUUGAGGCUCGAAGGCGUGGGGAGCAAACAGGAUUAGAUACCCUAGUAGUC
rnacentral:rRNA from 1 species